CUGCAGUCGACGAUUGUAGUCAUAUGCUUGUCUCAAAGACUAAGCCAUGCAUGUCUAAGUAUAAGUGUUAUACAGCGAAACUGCGAAUGGCUCAUUAAAACAGUUAUAGUUUAUUUGGUAAUCGAAAUUACAUGGAUAACCGUGGUAUCUUCUAGAGCUAAUACAUGCAGGUUAGCCCGACUUUUCGGAAGGGCUGUAUUUAUUAGAUAACAGACCAAUAUUCCUCGUGUCUAUUGUGGUGACUCAUAGUAACUGAUCGGAUCGCAUGGCCUUGUGCCGCGACUAACCAUUCAAGUUUCUGACCCAUCAGCUUUCGAUGGUAGUGUAUUGGACUACCAUGGCUUUCACGGGUAACGGAGGAUUAGGGUUCGAUUCCGGAGAGGGAGCCUGAGAAACGGCUACCACAUCUAAGGAAGGCAGCAGGCGCGUAAAUUACCCAAUCCUGACUCAGGGAGGUAGUGACAAGAAAUAACGGGUCGGGGCAUUCGCCUCGGGACUGCAAUGAAUCGAAUUUACACCCCUUAAUGAGGAUCAAUUGGAGGGCAAGUCUGGUGCCAGCAGCCGCGGUAAUUCCAGCUCCAAUAGCGUAUAUUAAAGUUGUUGCAGUUAAAAAGCUCGUAGUUUGAUUUCUGGACGGGCGCCAACACCCGCUUGUUUAGUGUGGAGGCGGCGCCCGCCCAUCCUUCUGUUAACGCCACCGGCAUUCGUUUGCUGGCGGCGGGCUCAGAUAUUUUACCUUGAGAAAAUUAGAGUGUUUCAGGCAGGCUUGCGCCGAGAUACAUUAGCAUGGAAUAAUAGAAUAGGACUUUGGCCUCUUCUGUUGGUCUGAGGGGUUAGAGUAAUGAUUAAUAGGGAUAGUUGGGGGCAUUAGUACUUAACUGCUAGAGGUGAAAUUCUCAGAUUUGUUAAAGACUAACUUAUGCGAAAGCAUUUGCCAAGGAUGUUUUCAUUAAUCAAGAACGAAAGUUAGGGGAUCAAAGACGAUCAGAUACCGUCCUAGUCUUAACCAUAAACUAUGCCGACUCGGGAUCGGGGGCGAGCAUUAUCCGUCUUCGGCACCGUAUGAGAAAUCAAAGUCUUUGGGUUCUGGGGGGGAGUAUGGUCGCAAGGCUGAAACUUAAAGGAAUUGACGGAAGAAC
rnacentral:rRNA from 1 species